rnacentral:rRNA from 1 species
UACGUAGGGAGCGAGCGUUGUCCGGAAUCAUUGGGCGUAAAGCGCGCGUAGGCGGUCCGGUAAGUCCGCUGUGAAAGCCCAGGGCUCAACCCUGGAAAGCCGGUGGAUACUGCCGGGCUAGAGUCCGGAAGAGGCGAGUGGAAUUCCUGGUGUAGCGGUGAAAUGCGCAGAUAUCAGGAGGAACACCGAUGGCGAAGGCAGCUCGCUGGGACGGUACUGACGCUGAGGCGCGAAAGCGUGGGGAGCAAACAGG